GUCCUCUUCCUGUAUAACCUGUGCUCGGGGCACUUUGAAAGCAGUGGAAUGCUGCCUUAGUGUGCUGAUGGGGAUGGAAAAAGGUGUCAGCUCUGAUCUCCUCCUGCAUGUGUGGGUCUGAAAGAACCAUCCACAUAGCAAGACUGGAGAGAACCAGUGCCAUUCUGUCAGCACUUCUGGCCAGGUAUCUCCACAGUACUUCUAGCUCCCUCCAACCCCACUGUAUCCAACACAAUAAUCUGUUCUUGUCGGUCUAAAAGUGAAGAACUCCUUCCCAGUUUCCUGCUCUCAUUUCUGGGACAUCCCAGAGCUGAAAUCCUCAGAAUGAAGAGAAGGAGCACCGAUGAGGGAUGGAUGCACCCACAGACAUAGUGCAAGCACUGUUUAUGCAAUGAGCACACCCAUAAGGUUGCAUUCCACCAACUGCAGCUACUUACCUGCUCUCUGAUCCUACAGCAUCAUAGACCAUCCGUAACCUUAAGCAUUUAUUCCCGUGGUGUUUCUCUAUGUGCCAACCCUUCUACUCUUUAUCAGGGUUGGAAUCCUCAUCCUACUGAUGGGAAGCUAAUGAGGAGCCACCUCUGUGCUUUGCUUUUUCUCCUGCAAAUUGGAGAUGGGGCUGUUUAAUGGGGGAUGCUCAUGCAACUUUUUGGCAUUAAUGGGGAGGAAAUGGAGUAAUUGGGAGCUGAGGCAGCACUUGCUGAUUGUCUGAUAUCUCCAGCUCAGUAUUACAGUGGGUUUAUAGGGGUGUUGAGAAAGCAGAGCUGGAAAUCUGAACCCUGCUCUCUAAUUGGCCGGGAUCUCAGUGCAAGUCUCGUGGUUUGAGCUGUUCUUGCUGUAACGGGGACAAGAAAUUCCCAAAUAAAGCUGAGAACAGGAGUGUGGGGAGGUGAAGGGGGAGGAAAUAAUUAAAGCAGCAUACAGAAAUCACCCUGAUCUGCGGUGUGUCUUCGCAGGGAGAUUUUGUGGCGGUGAGAUUACACCUUCAAAGCACCAUAUGACUGGCUUUAUUUUUGCUUCAGAGAGACUGGGAGGAUUUCCAAAUUUGGAUUUGGAGGAUUACUGUCCUUUUGCUGACAAUAAAAUCCCCCACCCUGGGGAGGAUGAGGUGAGACCUCCCAGGAGGGAUUAGGCAACGCCUGCCUUGCUCCUGCUUGUGCCAAUGGUCCAAGUGUGGCCAGGAGCUGCUGGGAGAUGGAUAAGAGGUGCAGCCCAAUGGCUGAGCUAGACAGACAGACCCAACAAUGGAGAGAAGCAAAAGCAAACCCAUCCACAACUUACUGUCCACUCUCGCUCGUUACGUCUACGAAGACCUUGAUCCUCAUUCUGGGAGCAGGGGUGGGCGAGACACCGCAAGAGAGAGAGGUUACUGCUGGGUCCAGCACCUGGCUGUGCAGACACUUACCUAGGAAGGCUUUUUUUGCUACAGAGGGGGAACUACAGGGCUCCUUCCAGCAUGGGGAAAACCAGGGGCACAGGGGUAAGGCACACUGAGCUGUCCCACUGCACGCCUUCCACCCAGCUCCAUCACCCACCUGCUGGCACUGAUGCUCUCAGGUUGCAGUGAGGCUUUUAAAAAGCAGUUUUCCUCCUUCUCAUCCCCCUGCAUGGAUCUAUUCCCAUCCUUCCCAAAGACCCAAUUCCUUUGCCCUUUAUCAUCUCCUUCUCUGUUCCCAGCCUAUUGUUGCUGUGUGCCUUCUCCAGCCUUCCCUUUGCUUUCUUGCUGUGUACUGAGAACCCUGUGAGGCAAUAGCCCCAUUGACCCCACAGCCCAUUCCUCCCAGUUACAAUGCAACAGACUAAAUGGAAAAGAGCAAGAUGGAUGCUGUGGCCACACCAUGGGGGAUAGAUGAGGACAAGGAGUGAGUGAGAACCUUGGCUGAAGAGGGAGCUGCCUAUGUUGUUUUCUUGGUCAACAGCUGUUGGCAUCGCCCAGCACAUCUCCCAUGAUUAGGAAGGGGGAGUUU